rnacentral:rRNA from 1 species
UACGGGGGGGGCAAGCGUUGUUCGGAAUUACUGGGCGUAAAGGGCUCGUAGGCGGCCGCCGAAGUCGGACGUGAAAUCCCAUGGCUCAACCAUGGAACUGCGUCCGAAACUGGGCGGCUUGAAUCCAAGAGAGGGAUGCGGAAUUCCAGGUGUAGCGGUGAAAUGCGUAGAUAUCUGGAGGAACACCGGUGGCGAAGGCGGCAUCCUGGAUUGGUAUUGACGCUGAGGAGCGAAAGCCAGGGGAGCAAACGGG